UCUGUAUCCGUGCUGAGAUUUCA
rnacentral:miRNA from 1 species